UUGUAACCCUAGCCUCAUUAAACGAAACACACGGCACUCUCGAUCUCCCUUCUCUCUCCUUCGUCUCCUCCGUGCUCCGACAAUGCCGUUCUUCCCUCUCGGGCUUCUCCUCUCUCCGCCGGUUACGAUUUCUCUAGGUACCUCUCCCUCUCCGCCAGUGCACUGCUUGCAAAGCCGGUGAGUUGAGGUAGUGCCAAUGUCUUCUCAGAUCUAGUGCCAAUUUUGAUUCGGAAGAAACUUUUAGGGUUUGGAAGAAAUUUUUGAAAGUGUCGAGGAGCAAUUUGAUUGAGAAAGCUGUUGUUCAGGUCUUCGAAGGUACCUCUGGGAUUGACAAUAAGUUACAACUGUGCAAUUUACUGGAGAGGCAUUGAAGGAGGGUGACUUGUUAAUGAAUUUGGGAAAACUGAAGGAAGCAUUGCCCUACUAUGACAAGGUCAUGGAUAACUUACCGUUCCAGAGUGAGCUCCAUGGUUUAGCUGCUUUGCAGUGGUCAAUUUGUCAAGACUCUCUUAAUAGGUUUUAGAUUUUCUUCAAUUCUUGCCACUAGCUACUUUACUUUAAAAGUUUCAAGUUUUAAUAUUUGCUGGAAAAGAGAAAAGAAGAAAAAUUAUCAUUUGAAAGAGUGUUCAACAUUGAAUGAAGAAAAAAUAUUUGAAGUUCAGGACAGCUUAUCACUGUUUCCUUUAGGCUGGAUACAUUGAGCUCACGUGUCGAUUAACUGCCAGAGCCCAACACACCCAGUAGCUAACCCGGAUACCAUCUCUCGACUGCGCAUCUCUAGGAGGCAUAAAAUCGAGGGAUUAGUGCCCUACCACCUUCUCUUGGAGGCAUAUACUAGGGAAAAAUAAAUUGGGAGAUUAGUGCCCUACCAUCUUCCCCUGGUGAGGCUGGGCCAUACCGGUCGGGGGACUAGUGCCCUACCACCUUGCAGAUAGAAAGAGAAAGAGAAUGUGAAGGAAAAUACGUCAGGGGAUUAGUACCCUAUCACCUUCCUCACAUCCUACAAAAAACAAUCACAAGGAAUGUGAGGAAAAGAAUCGAGGAAUUAGCGCCCUAUCGCCUUCCCCACAUCCAACACAUUAAUAUCAUCAUUAUGUCCAUUACUUCUCAAAUUUGUUAUUAUCAUUCCUUUACAUUCAUUCAUUAUUAAUCAAUAAUUAUCACUUUGUUGUAAUUCAUAACGCCAUCAUCAUCUCCGCACUCCUAGAUCAUAAUUCAUUACUUUCAU